GCAUCCCUGAGGAGGUGGCAUUUGAAUGAAAGAGUCAACCCUCUAAGGAGAAGAGUUUCGGGCCCAGAGAACAGAAGAAUUCCUCUCCUUCUGAAGCUAUGGCCCUGACAUACCAAAGGGAAACUGAGUCUCCUGAGAGGGACUCUUGUGAAAUGUGCCUUGGCGCUGGGAUUGGGUGUUGGAAGGAGCCGAGAUAACACAGCAGGAAACCGUGUUCUUUUGAUUCCGUUGAUUGGUUUCCUGCUGAAGGCCAUCCAUGACCGAGGAGGGAGUAUACAAGACCAUUGUCCAAUUUCCAUUUCUCCCAGUGCCUCUUGCUUCUGGCGGGGAAAGCUGGCUGCCCUCGUUUGACGCGAUCAGGCCCCAGCACUGAACAGUGCAUGAGGCUGGUUGUACAUGCUGCACGGAGCACGUUAGGGAGG